rnacentral:rRNA from 1 species
AUUGAACGCUGGCGGCAGGCCUAACACAUGCAAGUCGAGCGGUAGAGAGAAGCUUGCUUCUCUUGAGAGCGGCGGACGGGUGAGUAAUACCUAGGAAUCUGCCUGAUAGUGGGGGAUAACGUUCGGAAACGGACGCUAAUACCGCAUACGUCCUACGGGAGAAAGCAGGGGACCUUCGGGCCUUGCGCUAUCAGAUGAGCCUAGGUCGGAUUAGCUAGUUGGUGAGGUAAUGGCUCACCAAGGCUACGAUCCGUAACUGGUCUGAGAGGAUGAUCAGUCACACUGGAACUGAGACACGGUCCAGACUCCUACGGGAGGCAGCAGUGGGGAAUAUUGGACAAUGGGCGAAAGCCUGAUCCAGCCAUGCCGCGUGUGUGAAGAAGGUCUUCGGAUUGUAAAGCACUUUAAGUUGGGAGGAAGGACAGUAAAUUAAUACUUUGCUGUUUUGACGUUACCGACAGAAUAAGCACCGGCUAACUCUGUGCCAGCAGCCGCGGUAAUACAGAGGGUGCAAGCGUUAAUCGGAAUUACUGGGCGUAAAGCGCGCGUAGGUGGUUUGUUAAGUUGAAUGUGAAAUCCCCGGGCUCAACCUGGGAACUGCAUCCAAAACUGGCAGGCUAGAGUAUGGUAGAGGGUAGUGGAAUUUCCUGUGUAGCGGUGAAAUGCGUAGAUAUAGGAAGGAACACCAGUGGCGAAGGCGACUACCUGGACUGAUACUGACACUGAGGUGCGAAAGCGUGGGGAGCAAACGGGAUUAGAUACCCUGGUAGUCCACGCCAUAAACGAUGUCAACUAGCCGUUGGGAGUCUUGAACUCUUAGUGGCGCAGCUAACGCAUUAAGUUGACCGCCUGGGGAGUACGGCCGCAAGGCUAAAACUCAAAUGAAUUGACGGGGGCCCGCACAAGCGGUGGAGCAUGUGGUUUAAUUCGAAGCAACGCGAAGAACCUUACCAGGCCUUGACAUCCAAUGAACUUUCUAGAGAUAGAUUGGUGCCUUCGGGAACAUUGAGACAGGUGCUGCAUGGCUGUCGUCAGCUCGUGUCGUGAGAUGUUGGGUUAAGUCCCGUAACGAGCGCAACCCUUGUCCUUAGUUACCAGCACGUAAUGGUGGGCACUCUAAGGAGACUGCCGGUGACAAACCGGAGGAAGGUGGGGAUGACGUCAAGUCAUCAUGGCCCUUACGGCCUGGGCUACACACGUGCUACAAUGGUCGGUACAAAGGGUUGCCAAGCCGCGAGGUGGAGCUAAUCCCAUAAAACCGAUCGUAGUCCGGAUCGCAGUCUGCAACUCGACUGCGUGAAGUCGGAAUCGCUAGUAAUCGUGAAUCAGAAUGUCACGGUGAAUACGUUCCCGGGCCU